AGUAAAAUUAUAAAAAAAAAAAAACACCCUUUUGGGUGAAUGUUAUAUAAAAAGAACCAAAAGGGUAUUUUACAAUUUUCACAAAAAGCAAAAACUGUUCAACACUACCCUCACUAAUCCUUAUUCAAGAAUUGAACAACACACCUCACAACCAAAAAUACAAUCUUUUUUUUAUUUUUUUUGCAUAGGAUUCUGACUUUUAACCCCCAAGACUCCACCUUUUUUGCCCCAAGAAAGUUCAAACAACACCCAUGGAAUCCAAAUUAAGAUUCUUU
rnacentral:misc_RNA from 1 species